GAAUGGUUGGGAUAGCUCAUUUGGUAGAGCAGAGGACUGAAAAUC
rnacentral:tRNA from 1 species